rnacentral:rRNA from 1 species
GAUGAACGCUAGCGGCAGGCUUAACACAUGCAAGUCGAGGGGCAGCGCGGGUAGCAAUACCUGGCGGCGACCGGCAAACGGGUGCGGAACACGUACGCAAUCUGCCCUUACCCGGAGCAUAGCCCGAAGAAAUUCGGAUUAACUCUCCAUAAGAUAGUAAAAUGGCAUCAUUUAGCUAUUAAAAAUUUAUUGGGUAAGGAUGAGCGUGCGUCCCAUUAGCUAGUUGGUAGGGUAACGGCCUACCAAGGCGACGAUGGGUAGCUGGUGUGAGAGCACGACCAGCCACACGGGCACUGAGACACGGGCCCGACUCCUACGGGAGGCAGCAGUGAGGAAUAUUGGUCAAUGGACGCAAGUCUGAACCAGCCAUGCCGCGUGAAGGAUGAAGGCCUUCUGGGUUGUAAACUUCUUUUAUGUGGGAAGAAACCUCUGAUUUCUAUUAGAGUUGACGGUACCAUAGGAAUAAGCACCGGCUAACUCCGUGCCAGCAGCCGCGGUAA